rnacentral:rRNA from 1 species
GUCUUUUAGUGAAUAAUUUAAAGUCCGGUCUGCUCACUGAGUAAUUAAAGAGCCGCAGUAUUUUGACUGUGCAAAGGUAGCAUAAUCAAUAGUUUUUUAAUUGAAAACUUGUAUGAAAGAUUAAAUGAGAAAGAAAUUUUCUUAAUUUAAGUAAAUUUAAUUUAAAAUUUAAGUGAAAAUGCUUAAAUUUUUAAAAAGACGAGAAGACCCUAUAGAUUUUUAUUAAUAUAAUAGGUAAUAAAAAAAUAAAAUUAAUUUUAUAUUAAUUUGAUUGGGGUGAUAUUGUAAAAUAAAAAACUUAAUUUUUUAAAACCAAAGAUUUAUGAAUUUGUUGAUUUAAAAUUUUUUGAAAAAGAUUAAAUUACCUUAGGGAUAACAGCGUAAUUUUUUUUACGAGUUCAUAUCUAUAAAAAAGUUUACGACCUCGAUGUUGAAUUAAGAUUAAGUAUUGGAGCAGAAAUUAAUAUUUUUAGUCUGUUCGACUAUUAAAAUCU